rnacentral:lncRNA from 1 species
CCGUAAGUCCCAGAUCCUGUGACAAUGGCACAUGCCUUAUCCUGAAGAUACAGAUGGCUGAAGUGAAUUGAAUUAUGCUCCCCUGCCAAAGACAAAUCCAACUCCUAAAUCCACAGAUUCUGUGAAUAUGAGCUUAUUUGAAAAAAGGGUCUUUGCAGAUAUAAUUAAAGAUUUGGAGAUUUAAGCCUGAAUUAGGGUGGGCCCUAAUCCAAUGAUAAGUAUCCCUAUAAGACAAAGGUAGAGGGAUAUUUGAGUGACAGAGGGAGAAAGACUAGGUGAGGAUAGAGGUAGAGAUUGGAGUUAUGCAAGAUGCAAGCCAAGGAAGCCAAGAUGCUCCUCCCAUAAGCUGGAAGCAGCAGGAAGGAUUCUGCUCUACAACUGGUGAAGGGAGUGUAGCCCUGCCCAUACCUUGAUUUCAGACUUCUGGCCUCCAGAACUGUGAGAGAAUAAAUGCUGUUGUUUUUAAGCUAUUGAGUUUAUGAUACUGUCUUCUAGCAUCCCUAGGAAAUGAACACAGUGGACAUUAGUUUAAAAUGCUCAAGGUAUGGGCAGCAACUCUCCAAAUUGGAGGGAAACCAGUGACAGUAUUUGCAUUGAGCUAACACAUUCCUGGAAAGUGCUUCCUAGAGGGUGCAUAGGGCCAUGACGAAAGUUGUGGUGAAGGGAGCAUUAACAGGAACUCACUUCUACUGGGUCUUUCCACUCACACUGAAGAGGAAGAUGGGCAAAUCCAUGAAAUGUCAUGAUCCUUUGCCCAGAUACCUAAACUUCCCCAAUAAAUCAUAGAGGCAGAGGGAGGAGGAAGAAAAUCCAGAGGACAUGCUAAAGGCCCUGCUACUUUCUUAGAAACUGUAUGUGACUAACAAAAAGUAAACUGCAUGCAUAUAAAAUAUACAAUUUGGUAAGUUUUGACAUAUACAUAUCCUAUAAACACAUCAUCACAAUCAAGGUUAGUGAAUAUAUCUAUCACCCACAAGUUUCUUGCUGCCCUUUGUAAUGAUUCCUUUCAACUUUCCUAUCUCCCAUCUUCAAGCAACCAUUGACACAAAAAGUACAGAUUACUUGGCAUUUUAUAGAAUUUUGUAGAAAUGCAAGCAAAGAAUAUGCCUCUUUUUUUAACUGCAUAUCCAUUUUUAUUUCCAAAUAGCCCAAAAUAACCACAUCAAGCAACAUAAUCUGUUAAAAGAGUAAGUAAAC